GAUUACAGGCACGCGCCACCACUCCCAGUUUACACCCCGCCACUCCUGAGCACCGCACACCGGCUUCCUCCCAGUCCCUCAUCUGAGAACUCAUGAAGCCACUUGGAAUCCCUCUCUGCUUUGCCUGGCUCAUUCCAUGUCAAUUUCAGAUCUUCACUUCAGGUCAGCUCCAAGGAGGCUAUCCUUGCCCAUCUUCCUAAAAUAGAGCUCUCAAAACCUGGCUGUUUUCCUUCAGAGCACUGGCCUCCAAUUGCUCCGGUAGAUUGCAAAUGACCUGCUUUCUUUCUGUUCCCGGGCGUUUGGACCCCUGUCUUGGACCGCUGUCGGAUAGUAAAUCCCAAGUAAGGUACCUGCCGUCGGCAGAUUUGAGCUUUCUUCUUGGACACCUAAUACCCAGAGUCCUCCAGGCUCCGGUAGAUUGCAAAUGACCUGCUUUCUUUCUGUUCCCGGGCGGCAUCGGACCCGUCGGAGAGUAAAUCCCAAGUAAGGUACCUGCCGUUGGCAGAUUUGAGCUUUCUUCUUGGACACCUAAUACCCACAGUCCUCCAGGCUCCGGUAGAUUGCAAAUGACCUGCUUUCUUUCUGUUCCCGGGUGGCAUCGACCCGUCGGAGAGUAAAUCCCAAGUAAGGUACCUGCCGUUGGCAGAUUUGAGCUUUCUUCUUGGACACCUAAUACCCACAGUCCUCCAGUAAAUCCCAAGCAAGGUACCUGCCGUCAGCAGAUUUGAGCUUUCUUCUUGGACACCUAAUACCCACAGUCCUCCAGGCUCCGGUAGAUUGCAAAUGACCUGCUUUCUUUCUGUUCCCGGGCUGCGUUCGGACCCCUGUCGGAUAGUAACUCCCAAGCUCCGGUAGAUUGCAAAUGACCUGCUUUCUUUCUGUUCCCGGGCUGCGUUCGGACCCCUGUCGGAGAGUAAAUCCGAAAAAAACAAACAAAGACAUGGAUUUACUGUGCAUAUUAGCAGAUCCAUACUGGAAAAUGCAUGGAGGUUUCAUAUACACCACUUACAGUUUUCAGCUCCUCAGUAGUGACAAAGCCAUACCCAUCAUUGUCGAUUCGAUCAACAAUCUUCCCUAGCCUCUCCUUGCUCUCGUCCGGGGUGAGCUCGUCGAAGUUCUUGGAGUCCUCCUUGCCCAGGAAGGCCUCGUGGUCGUACUGGAAGCUCUGGUUGUCCUCAGGGGGCCGCUCGCCCAGCUCCGAGUCGGGCCGCACCACGCGCUCUUUGCGCACCGUGGGCUUGGCCCGCAGAACCCGCGGCGCCAGCACCAGCGCCAGCAGCAGCCCCAGGGCUAACCCCAGGCGGCCACCGCGCGCCAUCGUCCCGAGGAGAGGGCGGCCGGGAGGGAGACGCUGAGCGAGCGACAACAGCGGCAGCUCGGGAAUGGGGGCUCGGAGCGCGGCGGCCAAGUUUUAUGUUAUGUAUAUUUUACAAGUAAAAAAAUUUUUUCACCUCAGCCUGAACUGAACACUAGCUGACAGACGUUUUGAUUUCUUUGACCAUCACGGAAUCGUGGCCAAGCGCGGUGGCUCACAUCUGUAAUCCCAACACUUUGGGAGGUCAAGAUGGGCGGAUUGCUUGAAUCCAGGUGUUUGAGAUCAGCCUGGGCAACAUGACAAAACCCUGUUUCUAGUAAAAAUACAAAAAUUAACCAGGCUCAAGCCAUGACCAUGCACCAUUGCACUCCAGCCUAGGCGACAGAGCAGGACCCUGUCUCAAAAAAAAAAAAAAAAAAAAA
rnacentral:lncRNA from 1 species